rnacentral:lncRNA from 1 species
UCCAGAAUACCUGAAAAAACUCGGAAUACAGAUCAAACACUCGAACUUUGCAAUUUGCAAAGGUCCAGUGUGUCACAUGGUUUGUUAGCGAGCCCGGAGAACGUGGUAAUCUGGGACAUGACAUAUGUAGCCCCAAAUCGCUUCCACUGCACUCCUCACAAAGACCAACGCUUGGCACGCACUCUUAAUGACCGCGCAAACGCAUAAUAGCUGAAGAUUGAGCAUAUGUACCCAAUGCGUGUCUCAUCCACGCUUGUCCCACAAUCGCGCUAUGUGGGACCCGACAAUCGUGCUUAACGGGCCCUUGCAAUCUCAGGUGGCCGUGAUUCAAACCGACGUUCGGGCAGCCAAGAUUCGGUUCGGCGUCCAAGCAUCCAAGAAGAUGAACAGUGCUCUUCUUUUUGGUAGUUAAUUAUAAUCCGACCCAAUAUGAGUUAUGCAUACAAUAAUAACUUAUUGAUUAAUAGUAAAUUUUUGGUUCUAGUACUAAUUGAUAAAUGGGAUAAUGAUAAAACUUACUAUAUUAAGUAGUUCUAGAUUUAUUAGAAUUGAUCUUUAUUUAUAAUAAAUUUAGAUUUGAAUAUAAUAAACUGGGCCACAUUUAUAGAAAUUCUAAUAGUGAGAA